GUGAUAUUGCAGAAGGUCUUGAUGGUAAGAUAUGUCUUUUUGCUAAUGAUACUAAGAUAUGUAACAGGGUUGCUGUUCCAGGGUUGAUGUUCAAAUGGCAAAUGAUUUAGAUAAACUAGAAAAAUGGUCAGAAUUGUGGCAACUGACAUUUAAUGUGGAUAAGUGCAAGAUAAUGCAUCUUGGACGUAAAAACCCAAGGGCAGAGUACAGAAUAUUUGAUAGAGUCCUAACCUCAACAUAUGAGGAAAGGGAUUUAGGGGUGAUUAUUUCUGAUGACUUAAAGGUAGGCAGACAAUGUAAUAGAGCAGCAGGCAAUGCUA